rnacentral:rRNA from 1 species
GAUGAACGCUGGCGGCGUGCCUAAUACAUGCAAGUCGAGCGAAUGGAUUAAGAGCUUGCUCUUAUGAAGUUAGCGGCGGACGGGUGAGUAACACGUGGGUAACCUGCCCAUAAGACUGGGAUAACUCCGGGAAACCGGGGCAAAUACCGGAUAACAUUUUGAACCGCAUGGUUCGAAAUUGAAAGGCGGCUUCGGCUGUACAUUCGGGAUGGACCCGCGUCGCAUUAGCUAGUUGGUGAGGUAACGGCUCACCAAGGCACCGAUGCGUAGCCGACCUGAGAGGGUGAUCGGCCACACUGGGACUGAGACACGGCCCAGACUCCUACGGGAGGCAGCAGUAGGGAAUCUUCCGCAAUGGACGAAAGUCUGACGGAGCAACGCCGCGUGAGUGAUGAAGGCUUUCGGGUCGUAAAACUCUGUUGUUAGGGAAGAACAAGUGCUAGUUGAAUAAGCUGGCACCUUGACGGUACCUAACCAGAGAGUCACGGCUAACUACGUGCCAGCAGCCGCAGUAA